rnacentral:tRNA from 1 species
UCCCUGGUGGUCUAGUGGUUAAGACUCCAUGCUUCCAAUGCAAGAGUCAUGGGUUCAAUUCCUGGUCUGGGAA